rnacentral:lncRNA from 1 species
UAAAAAGCAAGUGUAUUAGCAAGUUUCUCCGUAGCAAUGGUGCGCCAGGGUCUUUUGGUUUCCCUCUGUUGUUGUUUAAUAAGCCAGAGAAAGUGUUAAAUCUGCAGAAGUGCCUUAAGGCCCAGAUGGCGGAGACCAGCUACCCAAGGUGCAGAGAAGCGUAGGUGCAUGGUGAAGAUAACUCCUCUCCGGUUCCUGUUUUUAAAACCUCACCUCCUCCGCCACUGUUUACUCCAACACUUUGGUAGGCUCCUUUCUUCCACGUCUAGGACCUGAUGGCUUUCUCCUGAGCAGAUGAAAAUAAAGACGCGGAAGACAACUGGAAGCAGGAGAGGGAGGGAACCACUGGAUCAAACGCAGGAGGAUUGGGAGAGCAACAGAAAAUCAGGGCGCGCCUCCCCCACACCUCCUCCCCAUGCUAUAAACAAAGGAAAGCAAGAGCACCUUUACACCUUCUGAGCGAACUGCCGGACUGGGUUCUCCAGCCCAGAUCUUCCUUCUAGAGACUACUCAGCGUUCUCC